rnacentral:ncRNA from 1 species
AAUAAUUUAAGAGGUUGCAACCAACAAGAGUAAGCAGUAGAGUUUCUAUCGAACUUUGAAGCUGUUGAAAGGGGCGGUUGCCGAAGCACUGGAUCUGGAUAGGGGGUUCGGCUAGCUGGGGCGUAGUUUAAGAGACUGCGAACUGUCGCAGCAAAAUAUGUCGGCUGCGGGGCGCUAUCGACAAU